rnacentral:pre_miRNA from 2 species
UUGCUGCGGCACCGUAAGGUGAAUAUAGCUGCCCAUUGAUGUCUGUUUAGAACCCGGUGGGCCGCAGUUCACCUACAGUGACGCAGUGA